rnacentral:rRNA from 1 species
CAGUCGCCGCGGGAAUACGGAGGGUGCAAGCGUUAAUCGGAAUUACUGGGCGUAAAGCGUGCGUAGGCGGUUCGUUAAGUCUGUUGUGAAAGCCCCGGGCUCAACCUGGGAAUGGCAAUGGAUACUGGCGAGCUAGAGUGUGUCAGAGGAUGGUGGAAUUCCCGGUGUAGCGGUGAAAUGCGUAGAGAUCGGGAGGAACAUCAGUGGCGAAGGCGGCCAUCUGGGACAACACUGACGCUGAGGCACGAAAGCGUGGGGAGCAAACAGGAUUAGAUACCCCAGUAGUCCCUGUCUCUUAUAC